AACGAACGCUGGCGGCAGGCUUAACACAUGCAAGUCGAACGCCCCGCAAGGGGAGUGGCAGACGGGUGAGUAACGCGUGGGAACAUACCCUUUUCUACGGAAUAGCUCUGGGAAACUGGAAUUAAUACCGUAUACGCCCUACGGGGGAAAGAUUUAUCGGGGAAGGAUUGGCCCGCGUUGGAUUAGCUAGUUGGUGGGGUAAAGGCCUACCAAGGCGACGAUCCAUAGCUGUCUGAGAGGAUGAUCAGCUACAUUGGGACUGAGACACGGCCCAAACUCCUACGGGAGGAAGCAGUGGGGAAUAUUGGACAAUGGGCGCAAGCCUGAUCCAGCCAUGCCGCGUGAGUGAUGAAGGCCUUAGGGUUGUAAAGCUCUUUCACCGAUGAAGAUAAUGACGGUAGUCGGAGAAGAAGCCCCGGCUAACUUCGUGCCAGCAGCCGCCGUAAUAC
rnacentral:rRNA from 1 species